UACGUAGGGGGCUAGCGUUGUCCGGAAUCAUUGGGCGUAAAGGGCGCGUAGGCGGCCAUUCAAGUCGGGGGUGAAAGCCCAGGGCUCAACCCUGGAAUUGCCUUCGAUACUGUUUGGCUAGAGACCGGAAGAGGUAAGUGGAACUGCGAGUGUAGAGGUGAAAUUCGUAGAUAUUCGCAAGAACACCAGUGGCGAAGGCGGCUUACUGGUCCGGUUCUGACGCUGAGGCGCGAAAGCGUGGGGAGCAAACAGG
rnacentral:rRNA from 1 species